rnacentral:lncRNA from 1 species
CUAAUUUUGAACUUAGUCCCAAAGCAUUCCAGAUAGUUAAUCAGAGCUAGCUCCUUGUCCCAAUCGUCGGGUAGAAUUUGUGAAUUUCCAUCUAAGUUUCUCUCUAAUCUCCUCAGCUGCUAAGAUAGCCAUGCAACUUUCAGCAGCAACAGUUUCACACCAAACCAAAGCUCUCCGGGCAACACAUCUCUGAUGCAGUACAAAUCGUAAGCAGAACGAACUUGCCAUAACUAAAAAUACAGCGGUUAUCGCACAAAGGUCACAAACAUUAUGUUAUAUGUAGUGUACGAGUAGCGUCACAUCACAUCACAAUUAUAAGUAGCAUUCAGUAUUUCAGGUCGGCAGUCAUUGGUACAUCCAGCAGUCUUCUAUGGUUCGUUGGAUUCCAUAUACAGUAGUACGUACUCCCUCCGUUCGGAAUUACUUGUCGUAGAAAUGGAUGUAUCUAAACAUAUUUUAGUUCUAGAUACAUCCAUAUCCGAGACAAGUAAUUCCGAACGGAGGGAGUAGCUUCUUAAGACAACGGGACUCAAAUGCGGCCAUACCUGGAAGAAUGCAUUGCAAAUAAACUGUGAUUAGUGGAAAUUGAAAAAGGAAACAAGAUCAGGUAGAUUUGAUGAGGAAUCAGUCCUCCAUACUAACCCACAGAGAACAAAACCAAAUUAGCACACAUGAUUCAGUAUUCAUUUGUGAAUCUCAUUCCAGACAAGGCUCUAAAACAUAAAUGAUAAAUGCCAGCCAUGCUUUUAAUUGUGCGGCCUACUCGCAUACUAGGUACUUAUUUCGCAAUUUCAAACAAAAAGAAUCAAAGAAAGCAUAGUGUACUAAGCCCUCAUUGCACAAAGUCAAGCACAUGCAUAUCAUGCUGGCAAGUUAAAAGAAUAUAAUCUGCAACGGAAAGCCAUUAAGUUAUAAACGUUCAACAAACUAAGGACCACAGUAAUCCUAACAUGACAUAAUUCUCAAAUCAAGCUUUACUUCAUAAGGCAAUCAUAUUUCCAAAGACACCUAGGAAUGAACGUUAUAUAGUACUAUAACCAGACAUAGAAAUAACAAAAACCAAGUUAAGAAUUUCGGCCGAAAAGCUGAAACUUUCUUUACUAUGGUCCACUGAAGAAAUAAAAGCACACGGCCC